rnacentral:rRNA from 1 species
CACGUAGGGCGCAAGCGUUGUCCGGAAUUAUUGGGCGUAAAGAGCUUGUAGGCGGUUUGUCGCGUCUGCUGUGAAAUUUCGGGGCUCAACCCCGAACUUGCAGUGGGUACGGGCAGACUAGAGUGUGGUAGGGGAGACUGGAAUUCCUGGUGUAGCGGUGAAAUGCGCAGAUAUCAGGAGGAACACCGAUGGCGAAGGCAGGUCUCUGGGCCACUACUGACGCUGAGAAGCGAAAGCAUGGGGAGCGAACAGG